rnacentral:rRNA from 1 species
GGAUUAGAUACCCUGGUAGUCCACGCUGUAAACGAUGAAUGCUAGAUGUUGGGGAUUAAAAUCUUCAGUGUCGCCGCUAACGCAAUAAGCAUUCCGCCUGGGGAGUACGGUCGCAAGAUUAAAACUCAAAGGAAUUGACGGGGACCCGCACAAGCGGUGGAGUAUGUGGUUUAAUUCGAAGCAACGCGCAGAACCUUACCAGCUUUUGACAUGGGAAGUUUGAGGACCAGAGAUGGUUUUCUUCAGUUCGGCUGGCUUCCACACAGGUGCUGCAUGGCUGUCGUCAGCUCGUGCCG